AUUUGAACAACGGACAACUUCCGGUAGUACGCAAACGGAGCGUGAAUGAACAGCAGAAUGCACAUUUUACAGCGAAAUUAAUAAGGGUCGCAGGAGGGAGGGCCAACUCAUGGAUGUACACGCCCUGGCGGACUUGAUGAUGUUUUAAACUGUCCUUAAUAUCUGACAGUGUCCCCGUUUGUUCCUGAUUCGAUUUUUGAAAUAUUUUGUCUGCUGAAGAACAGUGUAUCACUGCGCAUGAAACCUGCUACAACAACAAGUUUUUCAAGCCGAGUAUUCCAAGAGUGGCAGUGAGGCACACUGAAGACAGGCUGUCCCUUCAGUUUGCCUGCAGAGCAGCAUGGUCCUCUACUCUGUAAUCUAUUCACCUCCACAUCACGGAGAAGAGCAAGACUUAAGAUUUGACAAGAGGUUGUAAGAAAAUGUGGCCUCCAGCCAAGUCCUCUGGAUUCCAAAGUGGAGGAGGAGAUUAAGGUGUGGUUCCGGAACUCCAGAGGCAGAGCAGGUGGAUGGAAGGAGCGCUACCAACGUCUUCUACAAUCCAGAGAAACCUCAGGUUUCCCCCAUUACCACGUCCCCCCAAAUUGCCUUGUCCCCCGCCCACAGAUGAACACAGGGAAUUAAUUGAUUUGGUCGGUCGCAAAAUGUGUGAGCGCGCGCGCGCACACACACACACACACACACACACACACUAAUUAGGGAUUGAGUUGGGCAAUAUUUAAAAAUUAUCGGUAAACCCUAGUAGGGAUGCUUUCACUAUCAUUUUUAUCAUUUUUCCAGCAUAGUUUCUCUCCUGUGUCACUGUUUUGGCAUUCAGGUAUUUGUUGUA